rnacentral:rRNA from 1 species
AUUGCAGGCUGCAACUCGCCUGCAUGAAGUCGGAAUUGCUAGUAAUCGCAGAUCAGCAUGCUGCGGUGAAUACGUUCCCGGGCCUUGUACACACCGCCCGUCACACCAUGGGAGUCGGUAACACCCGAAGUCGGUAGCCUAACCGUAAGGAGGGCGCCGCCGAAGGUGGGGAUUGAUGACUGGGGUGAAGUCGUAACAAGGUAAC